GAUGAACGCUGGCGGCGUGCCUAAUACAUGCAAGUCGAGCGAACAGACGAGGAGCUUGCUCCUCUGACGUUAGCGGCGGACGGGUGAGUAACACGUGGAUAACCUACCUAUAAGACUGGGAUAACUUCGGGAAACCGGAGCUAAUACCGGAUAAUAUAUUGAACCGCAUGGUUCAAUAGUGAAAGACGGUUUUGCUGUCACUUAUAGAUGGAUCCGCGCCGCAUUAGCUAGUUGGUAAGGUAACGGCUUACCAAGGCAACGAUGCGUAGCCGACCUGAGAGGUGGUUCGGCCACCCGGAACCGAGGACACGGUCCAACCUCCUACGGAAGCCACCGGUGGGAAUCCUUCGGCAAUGGGCGAAGGCUUACCGAGGAAACGCGGCGGAAGUAAUAAAGGUCUUCGAAUCGUAAACCUUGUUAUUAGGGAAGAACAAAUGUGUAAGUAACUAUGCACGUCUUGACGGUACCUAAUCAGAAAGCCACGGCUAACUACGUG
rnacentral:rRNA from 1 species